rnacentral:rRNA from 1 species
AUGAGCGACGGCGCCGAUUCCGACCGCGACCUCCCGCGCGCCGACGGCGACGACGAGCCGCGCCACCCCCUACCGCGGGCCGCCAAGGAGGAGGAGCCGCCCGUGGCCGACGAGUUCCAGGACGCGCCCCCGUCCCCCGAAACGAACAGCGACGGCGACGGCGAGCGCUCCCCGGAUCGGGCGGGGCUGCCCAAUGCGGGGGACCGCGGGGAGACCGCGCCGCCCGACGCCGGGGAGGAGGCCGUGGGCGUGAGGGUGGAGACCAACGGCGAGGACGCCAUGAGCCACGACGGUGACGAGGGGGACGGCGAGGACGACGAAGAUGAUGAGGAUGAUGAUGACGAGGAGGACGAGGACGACGACUCCACCCCUGAUGCGUCGCCGAGGGCGGAGGUGAAGACGGAGGGCGACGGCUCGGCCGGGAUGGCGCAGUGUGCCAGCCAGCAGCCGGUGGAGCCCGACCCUUUCCUCGAGGGUCACGACUCCGGGACGGAGGAGGAGCAGGCGGCGUUCAUGUCUGAGCUGGAGCGCUUCCACAGGGAGCACAGCCUCGAGUUCAAGCCGCCCAAGUUUUACGGCAAGGGCCUCAACUGCCUCAAGUUGUGGAGGCAGGUCGCUCACCUGGGAGGCCAUGAGCAGGUAACAGUUUGUAAACUAUGGCGUCAAGUUGGAGAGACUUUCAGGCCACCAAAGACCUGCACUACGGUGUCUUGGUCAUUUCGAAUUUUCUAUGAGAAGGCACUUCUUGAAUAUGAAAAACACAAAGUACGAACUGGCCAGCUUAAAAUAUCGAUACCUGCUAUACCACAACCUGGUGGUACAAACCGUGAGGGUGUAAAUCCAUCAUCUUCUGCAAGAAUUAGAAGGGAUGCUGCAGCACGUGCUAUGCAGGGUUGGCAUGCGCACCGUCUCCUUGCCAAUGACAUGUAUGGAGAUCACAUUUUUAAGGACAAAGACUCAAUACCCCUUUCAAGUCGUGAUAAGAAUCUGAAAGGCUUUGGGGUACUCAAGAGGAAGAAAGCAUCUAGUCCAGAGCGUGCUUUCAAGGUCUCCCGUACAAAAGUGAACAAGUCACAGGAAGAUUCUAUGGUCAUUGAUGUUGGAGAACCUGCCGAUUGGGUGAAGAUUAAUGUUCGUCAAACUAAAGAAUGCUUUGAGAUAUAUGCGCUAGUUCCUGGGCUUCUAAGGGAAGAGGUGCAUGUUCAGUCUGAUCCUGCUGGACGCCUGGUUAUAACUGGGGACCCUGACCAGCCUGAUAACCCUUGGGGCAUCACUGCAUUCAAGAAGGUGAUCAACUUGCCUUUAAGGAUUGAUCCGCAUCAAACAUCAGCAGUUGUCACGCUUCAUGGCCAGCUAUUUGUGCGUGCCCCAUUUGGGCACCCGGACAUGUAG